AGAUGCUCAUCUUGCUGGCUGUGUGUCUCCAGGGAAUUGAAGCACCUUGAAAAGGAUAAGAAAACUUCAACAUUACAACGAUGUUUCAUAUCAUUAGGCUCAAAUUAAGUAAAUAACAGAAUCCUAAGCUGAUGACACAUCCUGGGUUUGCACUAAUCAUAAUUUGCAAUCUCCAUCAUUGUCAUCAGAACCUUUUUGCCUAGCAACAUUCCUGCUGCUGCUUCUGUUCCGACCCUCUGGGUGCAACUGAAGGAGGAGGCAGUCAAAAGGAAAAACACAAAUAUCUCCAAGAUGGCACUUACAAAAAGCAACAACAAUGACAAAGUAUAAAUACAAACACACACCUUGAAGUUUAUGUUCUUACUCAAAUGCAAGCAUCAACAAUGGCCUACUGUCAGCAAGUUAAAUGGCUGGGGCUGUUUCAGUCUCCCAUUACAUGAAGAAUCUUCUGGAGAGGAAAGAAGAAACCAUGUCUAGACAAGGUGCUGGAAAGACCCAGGGAAGACACAGGUGAGCUAAGAAAGCAGUAGAAACUGGGUAAUUAAAAGUCAACAUAAUGGCUGGAAACUUGUUCAAGGAGAUAUAAAAAGAAAGAAAAACCAAAA
rnacentral:lncRNA from 1 species